rnacentral:rRNA from 1 species
GAUGAACGCUGGCGGCGUGCUUAACACAUGCAAGUCGAACGGAAAGGCCCUGAUUUUGUGGGGUGCUCGAGAGGCGAACGGGUGAGUAAAACGUGAGUAACAUGUCCUUGUAUUUGGGAUAACUUCAGGGAAAUGGGGCUAAUAUCGGGUAGGAGCUUCUGAUGCAUGGUGGGGGUUGGAAAGAUUCGGCGGUUGGGGAUGGACUCGCGGCUUAUCAGCUUGUUGGUGGGGUAGUGGCUUACAAAGGCUGUGACGGGUAGCCGGCAUGAGAGGGUGACCGGCCACAUUGGGACUGAGGUACGGCCCAGACGCCUACGGGAGGCAGCAGUGGGGAAUAUUGCACAAUGGGCGGAAGCCAGAUGCAGCAACGCCGCGUGCGUGAUGACGGCCUUCGGGUUGUAAACCGCUGUCGCCGGUGACGAAGCGUGAGUGACGGUAAUGGGUAAAGAAGCACCGGCUAACUACGUG